rnacentral:rRNA from 1 species
AUAUUGCGCAAUGGACGAAAGUCUGACGCAGCAACGCCGCGUGCAGGAUGACGGCCCUCUGGGUUGUAAACUGCUGUAGCAGGGGAAUAACACCCGCCUUAGGCGGAUUGAAGGUACCCUGAAAGUAAGCUCCGGCUAACUACGUGCCAGCAGCCGCGGUAAUACGUAGGGAGCAAGCGUUGUCCGGAUUCACUGGGUGUAAAGGGUGCGCAGGCGGAUUGGUAAGUCAGGGGUGAAAUCUCACGGCUUAACCGUGAAAUUGCCUUUGAUACUGCCAAUCUUGAGUUCGGGAGAGGUCGAUGGAAUUCCAGGUGUAGCGGUGAAAUGCGUAGAUAUCUGGAAGAACACCAGUAGCGAAGGCGGUCGACUGGCCCGUAACUGACGCUCAGGCACGAAAGCGUGGGUAGCGAACAGG